rnacentral:tRNA from 1 species
CGUAAGGUCAACUAAGUAAGUUGUUAGGUUCAUACCCUAACCAUGGGAGUUCAAGUCUCCCCCUUGCUA